ensembl:lncRNA
AUGAAACCCCUUGUGAUGGGUUACAGCAGCAGCUGUUGCAACACCCCUCCCCCUUGUCCUACACAGGGAGGUUUCUGGGUUGAGGUUGCCCUGUGGUGGCCUCAAACUUUCUGGGAGAAUUCUAGAUUAGGUCUCAGCUUGCUGUGUGUGGUUUUGGAUGUAUAUUAUAAGCGGCUGUUGGCAUCUAUGAUGAACAGGCUACACAACAAAUUCAAGACCAGAAGACAAAAAGGCAGUGGAUGUAGUCAUUCUCUGGAAAAAUUAAGACACCGAUGUCUUUGAGCUAGGUAAAUGGGAGUCAGCGGUCCUGAGAAGAGAGACUGGAAAUAAUCAGCAUAUUGAAACAAAACUGCAGCUGCUUGUGAGAGCAUCUCUAUUUCUCAGAACCUUUUAUUGAAUUUCUUAAUAUCAUGUCAGUAAGGCAGAGGGGAGAGUAUGGAGAAUAAGCUCAUAAUGUUCAGGUUCAAGCUUAUGCUUUUUUAUUUACCCAGGCUUUAAAGAAAUGCCUUGAUGAUUGUAACUACAUGGUGCUUUAAUUGUCUGUGCCCUCCUUGUCCCAGUGCAGUAAAUACUACAGUAAUUAAUAGUGCAUGCAAGAAACGUUGACAGACGCACGCUGUAAAAUAACUUCUGUAGUGACAUUUCACCUGGCGUAUGGGAUCUGGUACAACUGUACUAUCUAAUUGAUCACUGCAUCAUUUAGUAGUUUCAUCUAGCUUCUAUUACAUAUAUGUAGCUGUGAAUGAAGGUUAAUUUUGUCAAAGCAACUUCAUGUAGAUCCCUUUUCCUUUACUGCUUGUUUUUGCUCUUUCAUGUUAGCAAAACAAAACAAAACACCUUGUUAAGCAAAUAAUUUAAAGAAAUACUUAAAUCCUCUGUAUUUCAAGCAAUGAGCAGAAGUAUUAUACUCAGGAGAGAAGGGGAAAUAGGUACUCCAUACCAUUUGAUUUGCAUGUGUUCUUUGAAGAACAGGGUAAGCCACAGUGUUGCAGGUUGUGCUCCUCAGUUAUUCCAUUUAAAUAGGAGUAUUUUGCUACAUGCUAAAAUUUGUAUCUUUUUUAUUAUGUCUGUGUAAAAUGCACAACAGAUAGCCAAACCUGAGUGUUCAGUUUCAAAGGAAACAGUAAAAUGUUUGGGGGGAUCGGGGUCUUUGUUUUUCUUUCUUUCGUUCUUUCUUUCUUUUUUUUUUUCCUAAAAGAAUGUUUCAUAUGGGACUUACUAUUCCAUUUGUAUCUCUUUAAAUCAUCCUAAACAAAUUCUCUUCCUUCCUUCUAAAAUAAAUAUAUAUAAUUCCUGACUCA